rnacentral:rRNA from 1 species
AUUGAACGCUGGCGGCAUGCUUUACACAUGCAAGUCGAACGGUAACAGGUUAAGCUGACGAGUGGCGAACGGGUGAGUAAUGCAUCGGAACGUGCCCGGUCGUGGGGGAUAACGCAGCGAAGGCUGCGCUAAUACCGCAUACGAUCUGAGGAUGAAAGCGGGGGACCGUAAGGCCUCGCGCGAUCGGAGCGGCCGAUGUCAGAUUAGGUAGUUGGUGGGGUAAAGGCUCACCAAGCCAACGAUCUGUAGCUGGUCUGAGAGGACGACCAGCCACACGGGGACUGAGACACGGCCCAGGCUCCUACGGGAGGCAGCAGUGGGGAAUUUUGGACAAUGGGCGAAAGCCUGAUCCAGCAAUGCCGCGUGCAGGAAGAAGGCCUUCGGGUUGUAUACUGCUUUUGUACGGAGCGAAAAGGUCUCCUCUAAUACAGGGGGCUCAUGACGGUACCGUAAGAAUAAGCACCGGCUAACUACGUGCCAGCCGCCGCGGUAA